UGUCUGCAGACUGGUGUGUGUUGUGAGGAUGGAGAAGUCCCACAGCAGCAUCCUGGAAAUGGUCCAGUGACACAGAUGAGACACUCCAUCACUCCACCUGCCCUAACUGUCUCAUCCAGCAGGAACAUCUAGAGAAAGACCAAAAGACACUGAGGAUUUGAUUUUGGGGCCUACAAUGCCCUGAUCAACCUGGAGAAAAGAGCCUUGCUCAGGGACAUACUGGUGGUUUUAAACCAGCAACCUUCUGCACACCAGUUGUGUGAUUCAGAGAGCCGUCAUCAUGGUCUUCCUCAUCCUGUUGCUCAACGACAUCCCCUUUUGAGAAAAGCGCAGCAGCAGAAUUGGCACAGGUGUGUUGAGAUGAUAGUAGGAUGUUGGUUUCACCAUCUGUAAAUACAUGAUUGUUAGAACAAUAAGUUUGAAUGAAGCUUUGUUUCAUGUGCCAUAUGACUUGUAUAUGUUUUUAUUUAUUGUGAAGCUAACUUUUAUACAUUAUUUCAAUCAUUUAUUUAUGUUUCUUGUUGUCAGUAAAUAAAUAUAAAUAUUUUAUUAAUUCAUGUAUUCAUUGCUUGAUUGAAAAUGUAUGUAUUCACAUCGACUGCAUUUGUUCAACUA